rfam:Rickettsiales bacterium Ac37b, complete genome.
UUAAAAUCAAGAGCAAGUAUAUUGACUUACUAAAAAAAUUUCUUAUUAUGGUGCGCUCUUGCUGUAUUAAGGUAAAAAGGAGUAAAUGGUGGCACGUAUUGCAGGUAUAAAUAUUCCAGCC